GUCCCUGCAGCGCAAUGGAUACCGCGUUGAACUUCUAAUCCAAAAAAAUAGUUCGUUCAAAUCCCACCAGGGAUG